ACAUGCAGUCGAGGGGCAGCAUAAUGGAUAGCAAUAUCUAUGGUGGCGACCGGCGCACGGGUGCGUAACGCGUAUGCAACCUACCUUUAACAGGGGGAUAACACUGAGAAAUUGGUACUAAUACCCCAUAAUAUCAUAGAAGGCAUCUUUUAUGGUUGAAAAUUCCGAUGGUUAGAGAUGGGCAUGCGUUGUAUUAGCUAGUUGGUGGGGUAACGGCUCACCAAGGCGACGAUACAUAGGGGGACUGAGAGGUUAACCCCCCACACUGGUACUGAGACACGGACCAGACUCCUACGGGAGGCAGCAGUGAGGAAUAUUGGUCAAUGGACGCAAGUCUGAACCAGCCAUGCCGCGUGCAGGAUGACGGCUCUAUGAGUUGUAAACUGCUUUUGUACGAGGGUAAACGCAGAUACGUGUAUCUGUCUGAAAGUAUCGUACGAAUAAGGAUCGGCUAACUCCGUGCCAGCAGCCGCGGUAAUACGGAGGAUUCAAGCGUUAUCCGGAUUUAUUGGGUUUAAAGGGUGCGUAGGCGGUUUGAUAAGUUAGAGGUGAAAUUUCGGGGCUCAACCCUGAACGUGCCUCUAAUACUGUUGAGCUAGAGAGUAGUUGCGGUAGGCGGAAUGUAUGGUGUAGCGGUGAAAUGCUUAGAGAUCAUACAGAACACCGAUUGCGAAGGCAGCUUACCAAACUAUAUCUGACGUUGAGGCACGAAAGCGUGGGGAGCAAACAGGAUUAGAUACCCUGGUAGUCCACGCAGUAAACGAUGAUACUCGUUGUCGGCGAUACACAGUCGGUGACUAAGCGAAAGCGAUAAGUUAUCCACCUGGGGAGUACGUUCGCAAGAAUGAAACUCAAGGAAUUGA
rnacentral:rRNA from 1 species